CGGUCCGUUGGCGAAUAGUUCUAUUUCUACUGCUUUUAACAUGGCUGCUUUCUUACAGAAUCUCGUAGCUGCACUCUGAAAAUGAAAUUUUUGAGAAGCAGUAUCCUGGUCUCACUGUAUAGCCCUGGCAGAUGUGGAACUCGCUAUGUAGAGCUAGCUUGUCUCAAACUCUCAGAAUUCCCCCUGCCUCUGACGACUGAGUGAUAGAAUUGAAGAUACAUAAUACCACAAUCCAGCAAGGAGUAACUUUAUCCACUUUGACAGCGUCCUCUGCAGAUGAUGGAUUAUAGGCAGCAAAUGGUCAAAUUCAAGAAACCAAUUUGAGAUUGGCAGCUGGUUGGAAGCUUAACAUACACACUUCACUGGAUAUGACUUGUGACAGGUACGCGUGUGCUUUACUGAAACAGAGCGCUUAGUCCCCGCCCCGCUCCGCCCCGUCCUGCUCAGCCCCGCCCGUUCAGCCCGGUAGAAAUUAGAGAGGGAGGCGACUCCACCUGACUCGUGAGGACCAGAAGUUUAACUCUCCAGAUUCGGUACAGUAAGAAUUCCUGUGGGAAGACUUUCAGAGUUACUGAGGAGCAGAGAUGCCCACAGGUGCACCAAUGCUCAGCAGAGGGCACUAGGGUAACAGAUGAUUGCGAGCUGCCUGAAGAGGGUCAGGUAAAAGAGCCGCAAGCGUUCAUAAAGGGAUGAGCCAUCUCUCCAUACCUCGGUCCUCUUGGUGUUCUUUGUUGGGGGCGUGGGGGGGAAGGGGGGAGAACGCCUUCUGAGCUUUAAGCUGCACGUAGAUAAUAUCUGCAUGUGUGGCGAUUGAAGCUGAAGCGGCAGCAACAUCUCCCUGGCGGAUGGGAGUGAGUGGCUUUCAGGCUAGUCACUGCACCAUGCAUCUGAUGCUCAGUUCUCAGGGUCCCAGAAAAUCUGGUGGCCUUUGUAAGCCCUUCCUGCACCUGCAGGGAGUCUGAGUCCAUUGUGAUGUUCUGGACAGAGACAAAGGAAGUAAUGUUGUUGCUAACCUGUUGCACACCCCUUUCCCACCUGCUGACACCCUCAGAGGCCCUCCAUCCCAGCAUGCUAUGUGGAAGAAGUCCUCUAUUUUUUCAUAUUGAGAAGCAGUCCAGCCUGGUUUCCGUGGAAUGACUGAAUGCUUCCUCACUGAGGCCUGCCAUACCAGCUAGAUAAGGUCAUCUACUAUGACAGAGCCCAGGACAGAUGAAUAAACAACGAGAGCUCCUUCUCCACUUCUAGCAGUUGUGAACAGAUGAGAUCUUCAACUCCCUCCUGUAAGAAUGGCCUGGAGAGGAUGCAGCUAAGAGGUUUUGUUCAUUUGCUUUUUGCUUUUUACUCAAAUACCAGUAAGUCAUUCUCAAGCACUCUCAAAAGCUGUUUCUCUGGGAAGUGUUUAGAUGCCUAAAAAUAAAUAAAGGUCAGAGAGAACAGGAGUCACGGGAGAAAGAAGAGUAAAGACCUUCUUGUAUCUCAGGGAAGAUCCAGGAGUUCAAGAGACAGUAGGUAAAGUGAAGGAGGCUUGACUAGAGCACAGACUCAGUUACUGAUGACAUUUUAUGUAUUCAUUAAUUGGAUAAAUGUUUCCUGCUAAUGUGAGCCAUUAAUAAUAGAAGAAACUGGCUGUGGGUAUAUGGAAACAUUAAGCCCUCCUUGAAAUGUUGCUGUGACUCAAGCAUUGAUCUAAAACAGAAGGAGAACGACAUGGUAUAGCAGAGAAAAAUGCAGGCAAAGGCUGUUCAAAGAGGAGAGACUCCGUCUCCAAGCUCUAACGUGUUUCUCUAUCUGCAGCUUCAGAUCAUGGGGCCAGCAGACAAGGCCAGCUGAGCUAUCCUCAACUAGAAGUGUGUGUUCUAAAGGAUGUCAGCAUACCCUUAAAUGGAAAUGAAUGAGUUUCCCAGACUCUGGUGUAACCUACAGUUGUUAUCCUGAGAAAAUCCCCUUUAACCCAAUUGCAUCUCUGGAAUUUUAAACUCAUUUUUCCUCUGUAAACCACAGAUUCCAGGCCUGCCUAACACUGGCUUUGCAUGCUUUCCUUUAAUGUCCUUGUUCAACCUCUCCUUGACCCAAGAAUGCUGUGCUGUAUCUGUGAAAUCAGAAUCACAUGCUUGCCUUCAAGGUCUACCAUCAGCACGAACUGUCUCCUUGAAAGAGGGCUACAUGUAAAUGUCACAUAAAAUUAAUUAUCACAAGUCUACUGUGUCAAGUUAAUAUUUUAUGCCUCUUAAUAAUCAGUGUGCAUAAGUAAACAGUCCUGUCAAGGUAUGAUCCAGAGCUGACCUGUUGACCCAUCUUUGUCUCCAGUCUCUCCUGAAAUGUGGUUGAAGAACUUGCCAGAACUGUGUGAAGUCCUUUCUAUCAGUCAAGUUCUUCCUCUGGCAGAUACUGAGGCCUCAGCUUGUCCCUUCUUAUUAUAUGGAAUUCCUGGGAAAGUGUAAUUCUUUGUAUGUUUGUUAUAAUAGUAUGGUACAUGCUGGAAGGGUUAACACUGUUUUUGUUAUUGUUGCUGUUUGGCUUGUUUGUUUGUUUAUUUGUUUCCAGAAAUAUCUCCUUUCCUGUCAAGAAACAUGGAACAUUAGGAGAUUCUAAUUAAACAACAACACUGGAAAGAUUUCAAUUAAAA